UACGAAGGGGGCUAGCGUUGCUCGGAAUCACUGGGCGUAAAGCGUGCGCAGGCGGUUUUGUAAGCCAGGUGUGAAAAUCCCCGGGCUCAACCUGGGAAUGGCAUUUGGGACUGCAAGGCUGGAGUGCGGCAGAGGAGACUGGAAUUCCUGGUGUAGCAGUGAAAUGCGUAGAUAUCAGGAGGAAUACCGAUGGCGAAGGCAGGUCUCUGGGCUGACACUGACGCUCAUGCACGAAAGCGUGGGGAGCAAACAGG
rnacentral:rRNA from 1 species